rnacentral:lncRNA from 1 species
CUCCUAUCUUUCUACUUUUUUGCUUGCUUUCCCCUCCUCCCAAUAAUAUUCUACUGUAUUUUUUCCAAUUACACGUUGAGACAAUUUUUAACAUUUGUUUUCUGACAUUUUGUGUUCCUUGCUUCUUAAAGUAGAAAAUGAGAAUAGAUUUUAAGGUGCUUUAGGACAGGGAUUGUUUCCCUUUUGUCCUUGUAUACCCACCACCUGUCCUCUGGAUGACUUAACAUAGGCUCUUAAUUCAGUUGAAUUAGUUGAUACAGUCAGAGUUGGACCAAGGGAGACAUUAUGCCACGGUGAAAUAUUUGGUGGAAUUUCAAAGAAAAGCAAAACAAUGUGUCUUCCUUCUCUCCUCCUUCAGACUGAACUCUAUAGACCUGUCAUUCAUAGGUCUUAUCUUCAUUGCCUGAUCAAAACUCUUAAGCAUAUGAAUAGUAAAGAAAUGAUAUAAAAAGUGCUGAAGAUCUUCACUCAGACACAGCAAAAUGAUGCAGAAGGAACAUGAAUCCCUUAAAGUACAUGGAGAUCCCAGGAAUGUGGAAACCUGUCCUACUUCCAAGAAGGAGAUUUUAAAACUCUCAGUACCACACAAACCCUCACAGGGCUUCUCGGCACAGGUAAACACAAUGUCAAGGACGGUCCAAGCGGAUCCUAGAGGCGUUCCUCCACUCUGCAGGGUUUAUCAUGCCAACUAGAUGCCAAGCUCCCCCCCCCCUUCCUUCUUUUCCUGAAGGUGAAGAGUAUUUCGCCUCUUGGCUUCCUGUCCUCUCAAGAUGCUCGCAUAGCAUCAGUAUGCAGCUUUAAAUUCUAUAAUUAAUACACGAUUGGUAUUUGAAGCACCUGCGACUGCACAAACAUGUCACCUUGCCCAGGUGGUGCUACUAACACAUGCCAGGAGCAGAGGCAGCAGCCCCUUUUCACAUCCUUCCAGAUGAGAUGCAAAAGAGAAAACAGAGGUCAUGGGAUAAAUAUCACACAAGUCAAUUGCUACCAAGUUCAUAGACACUAUGCUAUAUGCUUAACAAUUAUUUUCUCAUUUGAUCCUCACAAUAACUCUGCGAGACAUGAACUCUGAACAGGGAUCUCAAGAAAUGAAUGUUCCCACUCUUAGGACUCCCCAUCUGAGACUGAGUUGGAGAGUUCCAAGUUUCCUGAGUCAAAUCUAAGUGUUCAAAAGAACUUUCUGCUCUGACAGGACUUCUUCCAGGAGAAGCAGCAUUACCAUUACAGCUGAAAUGACUAAAAAGUCCCCAAGUCAUGCCUGGCUGGCCAGAAGGUGGACUUUGUAACUUUCUCUGGCAAACAGAUAGAAAAGAAAUGUGAAACAAAUAGCUUUAACACUCUCACAGAGUUCCUUUGUUUUUUAGGAAGAUUAAAAUGAAGGCAAUGUGUUAUU